rnacentral:rRNA from 1 species
GAUAAACGCUGGCGGCGUGCCUUAUGCAUGCAAGUCGCACGCACCGCAAGGUGAGUGGCGGACGGGUGAGUAACACGUAGGAACCUGCCCGAAAGCGGGGAAUAACUCCUCGAAAGAGGGGCUAAUACCGCAUGUGGUCGAGAGACUAACGCUUCGGCGCUUUCGGAGGGGCCUGCGGCGGGUUAGCUUGUUGGUGGGGUAACGGCCUACCAAGGCGACGAUCCGUAGCUGGUCUGAGAGGAUGGCCAGCCACACUGGGACUGAGACACGGCCCAGACUCCUACGGGAGGCAGCAGCAAGGAAUUUUGCGCAAUUGACGAAAGUCUGACGCAGCAACGCCGCGUGGGGGAUGAAGGCUCUCGGGUUGUAAACCCCGUUUGCGAGGGACGAAGAUCUGACGGUACCUCGCGAAUAAGCCACGGCUAACUACGUGCCAGCCGCCGCGGUAA